UCACAUUGCAGCAAUGUAGUGUGGUUGGAGUGGCGCAAGGGUGCGUAACACGUGGGUAAUUUGCCGUGAAGACUGGGAUAACUUGCUGAAAGGCGAGCUAAUACCGGAUGUGGAAAUUGGGAGGCAUCUUCUGAUUUCUGAAGUUGGGGACCGUAAGGCCUGACGUUUCACGAUAAGCCCGCGGCCUAUCAGCUAGUUGGUGAGGUAACGGCUCACCAAGGCGAAGACGGGUAGCUGGUCUGAGAGGACGACCAGCCACACUGGAACUGAGAGACAGUCCAGACACCUACGGGUGGCAGCAGUCGAGAAUUUUUCUCAAUGGGGGAAACCCUGAAGGAGCGACGCCGCGUGGGGGAUGAAUGGCUUCGGCCCGUAAACCCCUGUCAUUUGCGAACAAUGUGUACUAUUUAAAAGAUGGUGCAUUGAUAGUAGCGAAAGAGGAAGGGACGGCUAACUCUGUGCCAGCAGCCGCGGUAAUACAGAGGUCCCGAGCGUUGUUCGGAUUCACUGGGCGUAAAGGGUGCGUAGGUGGUGGGGUAAGUCGGAUGUGAAAUCUCGGAGCUCAACUCCGAAAUGGCAUUGGAAACUACCCUGCUGGAGGUUUGGAGGGGGGACUGGAAUUCUCGGUGUAGCAGUGAAAUGCGUAGAUAUCGAGAGGAACACCAGUGGCGAAGGCGAGUCCCUGGACAAAACCUGACACUGAGGCACGAAAGCUAGGGGAGCAAACAGGAUUAGAUACCCUGGUAGUCCUAGCCGUAAACGGUGCUUGCUUGCUGUAAAAGGAAUCGACCCCUUUUGUGGCG
rnacentral:rRNA from 1 species